rnacentral:lncRNA from 1 species
UGACUCCACAGGGGACCAAGGUCAUAAUAGGGAGCAGAAAGGGAGGAACACCAGGGAUACCGAGGUAUAUAAUAGGCGACCGACCAAAGCGUGAAUUGGUAUAUAUGCCAAAACACUCAUCAUCCGAAAGGAAGCUAGAAAAGCAGACUUGUUUAUAGGAUGGAUAUUCGAUUCCAUAAGGAAUAUGAAUCUUACUAUGCGGAGAAAACAAUCAAAAG